rnacentral:rRNA from 1 species
GACGAACGCUGGCGGCGUGCUUAACACAUGCAAGUCGAACGGAAAGGCCCUGCUUUUGUGGGGUGCUCGAGUGGCGAACGGGUGAGUAACACGUGAGUAACCUGCCCUUGACUUUGGGAUAACUUCAGGAAACUGGGGCUAAUACCGGAUAGGAGCUCCUGCUGCAUGGUGGGGGUUGGAAAGUUUCGGCGGUUGGGGAUGGACUCGCGGCUUAUCAGCUUGUUGGUGGGGUAGUGGCUUACCAAGGCUUUGACGGGUAGCCGGCCUGAGAGGGUGACCGGCGACGUGGGGGGUGGGAGGAGGCCCGGAGUGCGACGGGGGGAAGAGGUGGGGAGUGGGGGACGGGGGGGGGAAGGAUGAGGCGGCACCGCGGGGGGGGGGAGAGCGGCCUGGGGGUAGUCAGCAGGUUGCGCGGGGGAGGGGGGGGGAGAGGCAGUAGGGAGGAAAGAAGCACGAGGUAACGUCGGGCCAGCGGCGGCGGUACUGUGCGGAAGAGCAGACGGCGUAAC